CCUACGGGAGGCAGCAGUGAGGAAUAUUGGUCAAUGGGCGGAAGCCUGAACCAGCCAAGUAGCGUGAAGGAUGACGGCCCUACGGGUUGUAAACUGCUUUUAUACGGGAAUAACGCGCCUUACGUGUAGGUCUUUGCAUGUACCGUAUGAAUAAGGACCGGCUAAUUCCGUUCCAGCAGCCGCGGUAAUACGGAAGGUCCGGGCGUUAUCCGGAUUUAUUGGGUUUAAAGGGAGCGUAGGCCGGCUGUCAAGCGUGCUGUGAAAUGUCCGGGCUCAACCCGGGCCUUGCAGCGCGAACUGGCGGGCUUGAGUCCGCGGAAAGCAGGCGGAAUUCGUCGUGUAGCGGUGAAAUGCUUAGAUAUGACGAAGAACCCCGAUUGCGAAGGCAGCUUGCUGCAGUGGAACUGACGCUGAUGCUCGAAAGCGCGGGUAUCGAACAGGAUUAGAUACCCCGGUAGUC
rnacentral:rRNA from 1 species